AAGACUAUACUUUCAGGGAUCAUUUCUAUAGUUCGUUACUAGAGAAGUUUCUCUGAACGUGUAGAGCACCCGAAACCACGAGGAGGAGACGCAGCAUUCUCUCCUGAGCGUGAAGCCGGCUCUCGGUGUUGCUUCGGCAACUGCCGCUUGCCAUUGAUGACCGUUCUUCUCUCUCUCUCGGGAGAGAAGAGGGAGAGGAUGCAUUCUGAGUGGC
rfam:Myotis lucifugus cont2.36311, whole genome shotgun sequence.